rnacentral:rRNA from 1 species
GUGUCAGCCGCCGCGGUAAUACGUAGGUCCCGAGCGUUGUCCGGAUUUAUUGGGCGUAAAGCGAGCGCAGGCGGUUUUAUAAGUCUGAAGUUAAAGGCUGUGGCUCAACCAUAGUUUGCUUUGGAAACUGUAGAACUUGAGUGCAGAAGGGGAGAGUGGAAUUCCAUGUGUAGCGGUGAAAUGCGUAGAUAUAUGGAGGAACACCGGUGGCGAAAGCGGCUCUCUGGUCUGUAACUGACGCUGAGGCUCGAAAGCGUGGGGAGCAAACAGGAUUAGAUACCCUGGUAGUCCACGCCGUAAACGAUGAGUGCUAGGUGUUAGGCCCUUUCCGGGGCUUAGUGCCGCAGCUAACGCAUUAAGCACUCCGCCUGGGGAGUACGACCGCAAGGUUGAAACUUAAAUAAAUUGGCGG